GGCUGCCCGAGCCAGCAUUGGCAACCUGCUGGGUCCCCUUCCCCACUGUGCAAGCUUUGUUCUUUGGCUCUUUGCAAUAAAUCUUGCUACUGCUCACUCUUUGGGUCCACGCUGCUUUUAUGAGCUGUAACACUCACCGUGAAGAUCUGCAGCUUCACUCCUGAACCCAGCGAGACCACGAGCCCACCAGGAGGAAGGAACAACUCCAGACGUGCUGCCUUAAGAGCUGUAACACUCACCGCAAAGGUCUGCAGCUUCAUUCCUGAGCCAGCGAGACUACGAACCCACCAGAAGGAAGAAACUCCGAACACAUCCAAACAUCAGAAGGAACAAACUGCAGACGCGCCACCUUAAGAGCUGUAACACUCACCGCGAGGGUCCGCGGCUUCAUUCUUGCAGUCAGUGAGACCAAGAACCCACCAAUUCCGGACACACAAGUUCAAGUUGGAGAUGGAGACAGUUCCCUGAGGCAUGAGGGAGGACAGGAAUCUGCCAGAGGUAACUCUGAGCCAAAAAGGCAAACAUAAUUUCCAGUGCUUUCCAGGAACAAGCUAAAGCAGGGAGGGAAGCAGCAUUUCAAACAGAAUCAACUAGAAGUGGAAAUCUCCUCCCUUCAAGGUAAGCACACUGAGGAGAUGGUUUAUAUGUCCAUGGAGAAUAACCCAGUGUUUUGCGUGGAGGUGGCCAAUGUUCAGCAAAUGGCUGAAUUUUGUUUUCUCAAAAGGACACACAACUACAAAGAAGACUAGGACAUGAGCUAGCAGUUAUGCUUACUGAUAGAAGCAAAGUUGCAGGUACACAGAUAUAUUACGAUCUGGAUGAUGAAGUGUAAUCCUAAAAAUACAGAACCUGGAAAUCAAGGGAAGUGGUGACAUUGUGCACUUCUUCAAAAAGGAGCUGCUAUCUAAAAAUGGUAGAAAAACCUCACAUACACAGCUGCCAGUCAUCACUCUCAGAGAUACAAGCAUUGGAUAGACAAGAAUUUCUAUGACACAAAAUAGGCCAAGUGGGAUGAGAAUGAGUAUUUGAGGAAAGCUUAUUUAAAUGGAAGACAUUAAUACAGACUGAAGAGAGAAGAGACAAUAACUCUAGAAAAUGAUGCAUUCAGGGCAACGGUGGACAGAAAACGAACUCUUCUAUCACCCUCUGCUAUGUACAUAUUAUUAGUGCACUGCUUUCUUCAAAGAGCUAUUUUCUAGAAGACCACCCAGAAGUUUCAACUAAUUGAGGAAGCAAUCUUCAGUUUACUUAAAUAGGAAGGCUACGUGGGACACAUUCCUGGCAUCAGUACUCCUCUGUCAUAUCUGUUUGUGCUGGAUAUAAUGCAAAGGACAAUGUUAAAUUCUGAAAAUACCCUAGACUGUUUCCCCCCAUCAAACAACCAAAGCAAAAAAUAGUUAAUUUCUGAUACCUUUUUCAGAAAGAUUGUUUUAUAAUCUGGGCUUUGAAAAUUCCAGGAAAAAUGAGCCACCCAAGGCGAUCAUAAAAGCCAAAGUUACAGAUGUAGAAACAGGUUUUUUAGUAGUGUGAUGAAUUUCUGAGAUUGGGGAAAGUGUAAGAUGUUAUUUGAAGUGGCACAGAAUUAGCUGUUUGGUCAUGGGAGAAACAUCUGUAAAUGGGAACUAAAAGGUUUUAUGAACAAUUCUUUGAGAAAUAUGUUGGAAUCUAGAAUAAGUAAGAUUUGGGGUAAUUUAUAUGUG